rnacentral:rRNA from 1 species
GACGAACGCUGGCGGCGUGCUUAACACAUGCAAGUCGAACGGAAAGGCCCUGCUUUUGUGGGGUGCUCGAGUGGCGAACGGGUGAGUAACACGUGAGUAACCUGCCCUUGACUUUGGGAUAACUUCAGGCAACUGGGGCUAAUACCUGAUAGGAGCUCCUGCUGCAUGGUGGGGGUUGGAAAGUUUCGGCGGUUGGGGAUGGACUCGCGGCUUAUCAGCUUGUUGGUGGGGUAGUGGCUUACCAAGGCUUUGACGGGUAGCCGGCCUGAGAGGGUGACCGGCCACAUUGGGACUGAGAUACGGCCCAGACUCCUACGGGAGGCAGCAGUGGGGAAUAUUGCACAAUGGGCGGAAGCCUGAUGCAGAAACGCCGCGUGCGGGAUGAAGGCCUUCGGGUUGUAAACCGCUUUCGCCUGUGACGAAGCGUGAGUGACGGUAAUGGGUAAAGAAGCACCGGCUAACUACGUG